AUGGUGUUGUUCAUCCCUGAUAUGGCUGGUCAUCUGUUUUUGGUCAUCCUCCUUUUCGUCACCUUCCAAUACAUCGAAGCCCAAGGUCCUUAUCCAAAACCAGACAUUACAAUCAAAUUUGAUGAGGACCUCAACAUCAUCUGUUUGAUUCCUGGAUCCUUCAGUCCUGACACCACCUGUAACCUGUAUGUUGGAGAGGAGAGUCAGCCAUCCUUCACAGUAAAGAUCAAGAAGAGAAAACCCCUCUCAGCAUCCGGACAGCAGUUCUGUCAAUUCACUCCAAAACAUCUGAUCAGUCGUCUACAGUCAGUGAGGCGUAAGGAGGUGAGCUGUGACUAUAGAGUGAGCUCAGGACCAAACUCUUUCUCUCCACGCAGUGAUGGGUACAGCUUUGCACAUCUGGUGGGAGUUCAUAUCAGUGAUCCAACAACUAUGCAGACACCUUCUAUAGCAGAAACCGUAUUUGUCAUCCUGACUCCUCAUUCUACUGAAUCAACCGCUCCACUCGUCACAACCUCAGAGAUCUCUACAGGAAACACCACUGACCCCACACGGACUCCAAUGGAGAAAGAGCCCCUUGAUUUCCUGUGGCGUCACAUUCUCACUGUGCUGUUCCUACUGGCUACUUGUGGAGUACUUAUAUCCUAUGUCAUCUCCCAUCAAUGCCCUAAAGCUGUUCCAAAGAGAAGCAGGAGGGUGGACCAGAGCAAUGAAGACUUUUCGUUGACAGUGUGCUAA
rnacentral:lncRNA from 13 species